GUACUACUCCCUCCGUCCCAAAAUAAGUGACUCAACUUUGUAUUAAAUUUGUUCUAAAGUUAGUACAAAGUUGAGUCACUUAUUUUGGGACGGAGGGAGUACUUC
rfam:Triticum aestivum genome assembly, contig: Triticum_aestivum_CS42_TGACv1_scaffold_579004_7BL